rnacentral:lncRNA from 1 species
GGUACAGCAGAGACAACCAUUAGCUAUGAUCUCUAAAAAAAUUUGGAUGGUUUCUCCAGUCGGGGUUAUAAGUGUUCAAGUAUUGAUCAUUUUCUGAUCUACGAGCUUUUUGGGUUUGAGCUUGCUGGACCUGCUCGUGCACAAACUCAGAAAAUUGAGGUGUGGUUGGGCAUUCACUAACAAAAUGGGUCAGAUUUGCACACAAUACACAAACAUCUUGGACUGAGUUAGGUAGAAUCAGAGAGUGUCUAAUAUU